rnacentral:tRNA from 1 species
AGCUCAGUUGGUAGAGUGCUUGCCUCACAUGCACAAGGCCCUGGGUUCAAUUCCCAG